rnacentral:piRNA from 1 species
GAUAAAGAUGUGAGCCUCCCGAGU